UUACCUGUCACAUGAAUUUUAUUACUGAGAGAAAAAGGAUUGCAGAAAAGUGUUUCCAUUAUAUAUCUGAGCUUCAAAUCAGGUCCAUGCCUGUCUUGGUUCGACUGGUCAUCGGACUUCCUGCGGUGCUCAUCCGGUCCAUGCCUGCAGUGAGAGGGUGAAGCUGAGAGAUGCCUCUGUUCUGGAUCACUGAGAUCUCGUUGUUUUUCGCGGCCAGGCUAUUGGCGAUGGCUGUCGCAUAACGGUUCCAAAAUCCAGUGUCGACGUUCAUCGCUCGGGCUGCCAGGUCCUUCUGAAACAUUUCCCCAAACUUCAUCGCCUCUCCCCCCAGCAGGGCCAUGGGGUUCUCCACCGACAGCCGCCGGCCUCUCCUGGCUGGUGCGUUGUUCCACAUAGGACAGAGAAGUACGGGAGUGAGAGUGAAUGGAGGAACUUUCCUGAAGAUUGCUGCUAUUCUCAGGCUUAUUGCCUCCUGUCCUUCAUGGUUUCACAUGACGUCCCGGGUGUCAGGAUCGCCUUCAAGUCUUGAAAUGAGGAAAGCUGAUGAUACAAGCGGACUGGGAUCAAAGGGGAGCGAACUGGUGAAGGUGCAGAAAUACAAACAGGAAAUACAUUUCUAAAAGUUUGGUGGAAAUAUUUUUUAAAAGAAAAGACAACAGAAUAUUUCCUGCAGGAAGGUGUUGACGUAAUCUCUCUCUCUCGUUCUCUCUCUCUUUUUUUUCGUUCACAUUAAAGCUUCAUAAUGAUGUGUUUGUGACUUU